GGGCAUGUGAGGGCUGUCGCUGACUCAAAGUCGUGCACGCCCGAGUGUGUCCUCUCACAUAAUAAUCCAUCUCACCCUUUGUGCAUCGCCGCGUGAGCACCCUUUGGGAUCAUCUCGGAGGGGGCUCGCGUUUUCACACAAACCCCCCUUUUAAAAGUGUAGAAUGACCUCAUUUAUGCGCUAACACGCAAUCAAUACAACUUUCAACAACGGAUCUCUUGGCUCUCGCAUCGAUGAAGAACGCAGCGAAAUGCGAUACGUAAUGUGAAUUGCAGAAUUCAGUGAAUCAUCGAAUCUUUGAACGCACCUUGCGCCCCUUGGUAUUCCGAGGGGCACACCCGUUUGAGUGUCGUGAAAACCUCAACCUCCUUGGUUUCUUCUGGAGACCAAAGGCAGGCUUGGACUUUGGAGGCCCUUGCUGGAACCUCUCUCUUUUGAAGGCCAGCUCCUCUUAAACGAAUUAGCAGGGUCCUCUUUGCCGAUCCUCGACGUGUGAUAAGAUGUUUCCAUGUCUUGGUUUCUGGCUCUGUCACUUUUGGGACCCGCUUCUAACCGUCUUGACCUUGCAUCGAGACAAUGUUCGAGCAUGUCUCCCUUCUCGGGAAGCUCCCUCGACCCCACAAACCCUUGACCUCAAAUCGGGUGAGACUACCCGCUGAACUUAAGCAUAUCAAUAAGCGGAGGAAAAGAAACUAACAAGGAUUCCCCUAGUAACUGCGAGUGAAGCGGGAAAAGCUCAAAUUUAAAAUCUGGCGGUCUUUGGCCGUCCGAGUUGUAAUUUAGAGAAGCGUCUUCCGCGCUGGACCGUGUACAA
rnacentral:rRNA from 1 species